UACGGAGGGAGCUAGCGUUAUUCGGAAUUACUGGGCGUAAAGCGCACGUAGGCGGCUUUGUAAGUUAGAGGUGAAAGCCUGGAGCUCAACUCCAGAAUUGCCUUUAAGACUGCAUCGCUUGAAUCCAGGAGAGGUGAGUGGAAUUCCGAGUGUAGAGGUGAAAUUCGUAGAUAUUCGGAAGAACACCAGUGGCGAAGGCGGCUCACUGGACUGGUAUUGACGCUGAGGUGCGAAAGCUAGGGUAGCAAACGGG
rnacentral:rRNA from 1 species